ACCAGCAAGACAAUUAGUCUGGGAAUGAAGCCCAGUUUUACCAUUAAGAAUGUAAAGAUCAAAACCCAGGAAAAGAAGGCAUUGCGCCUGACUAACAGAGGUUUAUUUCUGAAGACAAGCAGCUAGAAGUGGCCAUAUUUUCCUGAUUAUAACAUGCAGAAAGAGUCAACCCUGCACCUUAUCCUGCAUCUGAGGGAUAGCUGUCAAUUCUUC
rnacentral:lncRNA from 1 species